AGUGCAAUGAACCAACUCCCGAGUCUCUAGGACGUUCCUAAAAAAAUUUGAUUUUUUCCCAUAGGAAUGCAUGGGUUAGGGUUAGGGUUAGGGUUGGAGCUAGGGUUAGGGUUAGGGUUAGGGUUGGAGUUAGGGUUAGUGUUGGAGCUAAGGUUAGGGUUGGGCUUGAAGCUAGGAUUUUUCUGAGUGCACUGAACCAACUCCCGAGUCUCUAGGACAUUCCUAAAAAAAAUUGAUUUUUUCCCAUAGGAAUGCAUGGGUUAGGGUUAUGGUUAGGGUUAGGGUUGGAGCUAGGGUUAGGGUUAGGGUUAGGGUUGGCGUUAGGGUUAGUGUUGGAGCUAGGGUUAGGGUUGGGCUUGGAGCUAGGAUUUUUCUGAGUGCAAUGAACCAACUCCCGAGUCUCUAGGACGUUCCUAAAAAAAUUUGAUUUUUUCCCAUAGGAAUGCAUGGGUUAGGGUUAGGGUUAGGGUUGGAGCUAGGGUUAGGGUUAGGGUUAGGGUUAGGGUUAGGGUUGGAGUUAGGGUUAGUGUUGGAGCUAGGGUUAGGGUUGGGCUUGGAGCUAGGAUUUUUCUGAGUGCACUGAACCAACUCCCGAGUCUCUAGGACAUUCCUAAAAAAAUUUGAUUUUUUCCCAUAGGAAUGCAUGGGUUAGGGUUAGGGUUAGGGUUGGAGCUAGGGUUAGGGUUAGGGUUAGGGUUGGAGUUAGGGUUAGUGUUGGAGCUAGGGUUAGGGUUGGGCUUGGAGCUAGGAUUUUUCUGAGUGCACUGAACCAACUCCCGAGUCUCUAGGACAUUCCUAAAAAAAAUGGAUUUUUUCCCAUAGGAAUGCAUGGGUUAGGGUUAUGGUUAGGGUUAGGGUUGGAGCUAGGGUUAGGGUUAGGGUUAGGGUUGGAGUUAGGGUUAGUG